rnacentral:ncRNA from 2 species
CUCUUAUCCAGAGAGGUGGAGGGACUGGCCCUUUGAUGCCUCAGCAACAGACUGAAUCUUGUACUGUGCUAAUUCCAGAAGUGUAAAAACUUGAAGAUAAGAA